rnacentral:rRNA from 1 species
CUGAGACACGGUCCAGACUCCUACGGGAGGCAGCAGUGGGGAAUAUUGCACAAUGGGCGCAAGCCUGAUGCAGCCAUGCCGCGUGUGUGAAGAAGGCCUCGGGUUGUAAAGCACUUUCAGCGGGGAGGAAGGCGAUAAGGUUAAUAACCUUGGCGAUUGACGUUACCCGCAGAAGAAGCACCGGCUAACUCCGUGCCAGCAGCCGCGGUAAUACGGAGGGUGCAAGCGUAAUCGGAAUUACUGGGCGUAAAGCGCACGCAGGCGGUCUGUCAAGUCGGAUGUGAAAUCCCCGGGCUCAACCUGGGAACUGCAUUCGAAACUGGCAGGCUAGAGUCUUGUAGAGGGGGUAGAAUUCCAGGUGUAGCGGUGAAAUGCGUAGAGAUCUGGAGGAAUACCGGUGGCGAAGGCGGCCCCUGGACAAAGACUGACGCUCAGGUGCGA